rnacentral:rRNA from 1 species
GACAGGAGGUCCCGAGCGUUAGGCGGAAUCACUGGGCUUAAAGCGUGUGUAGGCGGAUCGUUAAGUGCCUUGUGAAAUCCCACGGCUCAACCGUGGAACUGCUUGGCAUACUGGCGGUCUUGAGCAACCUAGGGGCAAGCGGAACAAAUGGUGGAGCGGUGAAAUGCGUAGAUAUCAUUUGGAACGCCAAUGGUGAAAACAGCUCGCUGGGGGUUUGCUGACGCUGAGACGACGAAAGCCAGGGGAGCAAACGGG